AUCAGUGCUGACAUCUUGAAAUUAGCCAUUGAAAAAAUAUUUACACAGUGAAAAAUCAGCAAACUCUAAAAAUCAGAGUUUAAGAAAAAAAUUUCCUCCAGAAAGUCCGCAGUUAGGCAUUUAUCAGUAUGCCACUGCAUGCAUAUCUCUGUUACAUAUAAAUAUAUAUAAAAUUUCCUAUAAAGUUUGAAAUAUAAAAAUGGAUAAUCUAAUUAGCUAUAGUAAUUAAAAUAUAAGAUAUCUAGGAAUAAAUAUAAUGAAAAUUGUGCAAAUAUAUAUGAAGAAAGUCAUAAAAAGUUACUGAAGGAC
rnacentral:lncRNA from 10 species